rnacentral:lncRNA from 1 species
UUCAAACUUAAUAUCUAGUGCUAUACAUGAUUUACAACCCAACCUUACACAAAAUUUUCACUUGGAAACUAUAAAUAAACAUCACGAAAAACUAGUGCACUAGAACUUCAUACCCACAAUAAUCGAUCAUGACCUAACGGUUUUCCUUAUCAUAAUCCAUUAGCAUAUACUAUUUCAGCACCUCAAGCCUACUAAUUUAAUCCCACAAAACAUGCAUCAUCAAACUCUUGCCACUAUUUACCACCAUAUCAUUUAAAUUCAAGCCUAUAGUUUAGUAUCAAUCAUUUAUCACCAAUGAAGAAUGCAUCAUAAUAUAAAUAUAAAAAUCCAUCAAAUUGGGACAUUCUACCCAAAUACCUCAAAAAUCUACUACAUACCUUCUCACAAGUAGCACUAGUUUACAACUACCAAUGAAAAGAGGUUCAAGGGGGUUAAAGCCUCAUAAUAGACAUGGUCAACCUUAUCCUUAUAUUAUAACCCCGUACAAUCAUAUCUACUUAUAUUGCUUUCUCACAUCACAAUUACUUACCCAAGCGUACAUUUACACUACCUUCAAAUUCCUCGAACAACCAUGAGUCUAUUAUCAUAACUUACUCGCUCAUAUAGCCAUUUUCAUAUUCAAGCAACCAACAAAUCACCCUGACCAACAAAUCCUUCUCUACCUUCUACUAAUAACAGACAAGGAUGAAUCACUUCAUUAACAAAUCUAUCUCACGCAAAAAGAUUCAGCUAUACAUAUAUUCAACCAACACAAGAACAACACAUUGAACCACAAAUUGCCAAUGAAUCGAAAUAGGCCUCACACGACUUUACUAGACUGAUUUUAUUUUUUAACAACACUUUGAUGAUAAUAUUUCAUGAGAUAGAGAUUUAAUACACUUUGAUGAUAAUAUUUCAUGAGAUAGAGAUUUAAUACACUUUGAUGAUAAUAUUUCAUGAGAUAGAGAUUUAAUACACAAUAUUCAAUGAACUAAGAAUACACAUCUUACUCUGUAGAAAUAAUAAUUUGAGUCAAACGCUUCCUCCAUGGACUACCAUACUGUCCACACAUGCUGCUAGCUACCAAAUUAGUUUAUCACUAUAAAGGGGUAAAUCAUCCUCACUCUGACUUCUAAAUUUGUGACUUCACAUCACCAACUUCUUGGUCUACUUUCAUUACCAAUAGGUCAUGACAAUAGCACUUUAACACACACUACUAUUCGGGUGGAAAUACAGUUCUAACAUUCUGCUACAUCUUAUUACCUCUGAAGCAUGACACUGGCAACAUAAGUUCUAAAAAGAACUGAAUACACUUAAUACUGCAGACUGAAAAGCACGAUUUCAUCAAAAUCAAGGUUCAUACUAGAACCAACACAUUCUGAAGCACUAACAGACUAUUCUCAAGUCCUUGCAAAAAUCUUAUAUGAUUCGAUCAGAACGAACCAUACCAUUUAGACUCUAAACUUCUGUCCUUGAAUCGCCCCAGUAAUGUGAUGGGUCUGAGAAAACCAGAGUUUGGGAUGCUUUUACUUUUGUAUGGACGUCACCAUAGCACAAAUUAGAGUAUGAAGGAGGAACAUUCUGACUCUAUUGCAAGAACUAGAACAUGAAAAAAAAGAGACAUUCCUAAACGCCUUGUAGCCUCCUUCUUAUAAGUGUGGCGCGCUACACACCCAUAAAUAAGACUCUACCUAAUGCGAUUUCGCAGACACCCUGGGACCACAAACCGUGCUUUGAUGCCAAGUUUAUCAUGACCCAAACUGGGGCCCUGGCUGUGACGAGUAUCCCAAACCAUAAAGGCCUGAAACACCCCUAUCUGUCUGGUAGUCAUGCACAUAAUUCAUAUGAUAAAAAAAUAUGGGAGAUAAACAAUAUUAUGGAAACAUGGUUAGGAAUCAUACGAAAGAAAUAAUGGGGAAUAAUGUCCCACAAUCUCAACACAACAUCUCCAUAACGUCUGCAAAAUUUAUACUACAUGACUGAAAUAAAUAUCUAUCUGAAAACUGGGACAAGGCCCCCAGUAGACCCAAAACUAAUAAAUGAUGAAACUGGCAGAUAUCGGGCCUUUCAAAAUAUAAAAGGCUCACCAAGUGACUCUACGAAUCUAUCUGAGGAAAUCUACUGAUUUUCUGGACCCCUAGACUGCGCCUCCGAACUAAAAAGGAAUGGGGUCAAUACAAAAGUACUGGUACGUAGAGAAAUCAAAACAGAAAUAUAAUAUUUUUACACAAUAUGGGUGAGAGCCAUUAUAAAGUAGUUUCAUAUCAAAUUAUUUAAAAACGCAUGGGCAUAAUGUAAUAGUUUUCAAUACCAAUGUAAUAGGAUUGAGCUAGGUGGAAUACCCUACAAUUGUAAUUCCACGGCUAUGUGGAAUCUGCCUCUAGUGCUCCGCGGCCAAGCCUCCAAUCCAAGUAGCCACCAGGAUUUGGAGCCGAGAUACCCCCCAUGUGAGUACACCGUAGGGAAUCCCCCCAUGUGAGAUGUCCUAAUUAUUUUAUUAUCCUCCCAUGUAGGAUGCAAUAUUAUAUAGCCCGCAUCGACAAAUUCGGUUUCCAGCGAUGGGCCCUUUCACUCAAACGCCUUCUUCGGGCAUCCACCUUUCUCAUGAAAAUCAAUGCAUUCAAACUUUAUUCAAAUCAAUCACAUGUCAUACUCUAUAGGGUAUCAUCAUACCCGACUUGGAAGCCAUCAAUAUCACAUCAUUCUUCUCAUUCAACCAUUGUAUUCAACAUGAAUAACCUUCUCGUUUUCAAUUCAAAAUCAUAUCAAUUCUCAAAAUAUUUCAUGUCAUUCUCUUCAAGAUGUUUUCAAACAAUUUACAUCAUAUGAACAUUUAAAACAAAUUCACAUCAAGAGGAAAUUUCAUAUCAUUCAUGCUCUCAAGUUAACAUCUUUUCGGAAUACAUUCAUAUACAUAUAAUCAUAUAGAAAAUCACUUUGGGAGUAGGCCUAAGGACCAAAUCAAUAUCAUAAAAUGUUUAAACCAUAACCAUAUUCAUAAUUUCAAAACCCCCAUUUGAAAACAUGAAUUUUUAAGUCCAUGAGAUUUUUGAGAUAACCCCACGUACCUCUAUAUGCAAAUAUGAUAGGUGUUUCUUGAAGCCUACGUUGUGGAGAUUCCAAAUCUUCAAUUUAUUUUGAAAACCCAUNNNNNNNNNNNNNNNNNNNNNNNNNNNNNNNNNNNNNNNNNNNNNNNNNNNNNNNNNNNNNNNNNNNNNNNNNNNNNNNNNNNNNNNNNNNNNNNNNNNNNNNNNNNGCCGCCUAUGCUAUCGCCUAUGUUUACAUAGGCGCCGCCUAUGCUAUCGCCUAUGUUUACAUAGGCACCACCUAUGCUAUCGCCUAUAUUUACAUAGGCGCCGCCUAUGCUAUCGUGUAUAUUUUCCAGGGGCUAUGUGCGAUUGGUUAGGCGACGCAUACUACUUUGAAAGGCCAUAACUUCUUGCCUGGGUGCCAGAUUUUAGCAAAAUUGGUAUCAUUGGAAAGCUAACUCGAAGACCUAUCAUUUGACACAUAGUAGGCUCUCUAAUUUGACAUAUAAAGAGAGUUAUGGUUAAUGGAAGCUAACACAAAUUACAACGUCCACUAAAACUUAAUUGAUCGAAAUUGUUUCAACUCGUCCUUGAGUUGAAGGACCUCUAUGGUCUAAAUUCAAGCUUGAAUGGAUUCACAUACUACACAAAUAAUUAACAUGUCAUAUUGGCAUAGGAUUUAUUGCUUCGGAAUUAUCAAUGCAUUGAAAUCAUGGUCUAUAUUGUAGCCCAAAAUACGGGGUGUCACAAGUAUAAUUUAGUUUGGGUCUAUAUACGUAGGAACAACGGUCUAAACUCUAGCCCGAAUAAUAUGGGGUGUUACAAUCGGCAUAAGACUUCUGACGAAUCUGAGUAGUCUGAAGUCGCUCCCUUAUGAUAUUCACCUUUUCCCUUGCUUGGUGAACAAGGUCAGGUCCAAACAUUAAGUUUUACCCACUUCAUACCAUCCGAUUGAUGACCUACACCUUCUUCCAUAUUAAAAAGGUAACUAUUGUUGUAGGUGAAUUCUAUCAACAGCAAAUGGUCCACAGAACUACCUUUGAAGUCAAUCACGCAGGCCCUCAACCUAUCCUCAAGGGUCUGAAUGGUGCGUUCAGGCCGCCCAUCAGUCUGAGAGUGGAAGGCAAUACUUAGGUUCACUUGGGUGCCUAAACCCCUCUGAAAGGAUCGUCAGAAAUGUAAAGAAAAUUGUGAACCUCGGUCAGAUAUAAUAGACACCAGAGCUCCAUGCAAUCGAACUAUCUCACAAAUGUACAGCUUAGAAUAGUCUUCCCCCUAAUAAUUUAUCUGCACAGGAAUCAAAUGAGCGAACUUGGUCAUUUGGUCUACAAUUACCCAAAUGGAAUCAUAUUGGUUUUGAGAGUUCAGAAGCCCCGAAAUGAAGUCCAUAUUAAUCAUCUCCAACUUCCACACAGAUAAAGCUAUCUUUUGAAAAGUGUCACCUGGUCUCAAAUACUCUACCUUGACUUGUUGGUAAUUCAAACACUUAGAAACAAAAUUAGCAACAUCACGUUUCAUAUUGUUCCACUAAUAAAUAGCAUUAAGGUCAUGGUAGAUUUUUGUAGAGCCUGGGUGAACAAAUACCUCAAAGUCUGAGCUUCAUCAAGAAUCCUCUCUCGCAAUCCAUCCAUGUUCGGCACACAAAGCCUACCCUGAUACCUCAAAAUUCCAUUACCUCCAGUUUCAAAUGCCAUCACCUUCUAUUGACCAACAUCUCUCUUAAUAUGUGCCAAGAUGGGAUCAUUAGCCUGUUUCUCCUUAACUUCAGCACAUAAGGUAGAUUUAGCUAUUUCAUGAACAAUUACUUCUCCAUCUUUGAAAUCCAGAAUUCGAACUCCCAGAUUUACAAGCUGAUGAAUAUCUUUCACCAUCUCUCUUUUCCCUUUCUCAACAUGAUAAAGACUUCCCAUUGACAACCUGCUAAGAGCGUUAUUGGCCUUGACCAAAUGAUAGUGCAAUGUCAUAUUAUAAUCCUUUAACAAUUCAAACCAACGCCUCUACCUGAGAUUCAGCUCUUUCUGUGAGAAAACAUACUACAAACUUUUAUGGUCGGUAAAUAUAUCUACAUGCAACCCAUAAAGAUAAUGCCUCCAGAUCUCAAGUGCAAACACCACAGCUGCUAACUCUAAGUCAUGAAUGGUAUAAUUCUUUUCGUACACCUUCAACUACCUAGAUGCAUAUGCGACCACUAUACCAUGUUGCAUAAGCACACACCCAAGUCCCACCUAAGAUGCAUCACAGUACACAAUAAAACCUUCUGUACCAUCAAGAAGAGUCAAAACUGGCGCAGUGGUCAACUUAUCUUCCAGUUUCUCAAAACUAUUUUCACAUGAGUCCAACUACAAGAAUUUUGUCAUUUUCUAAGUCAAUUUGGUAAGGGGGCAGCUAUGGAGGAAAAACUCUACAAAUCUUCUGUAAUACCUUGCCAAACCUAAGAAGCUCUGGAUAUCAAUUGGAUUGUGGGUUUGGGUCAUUUUCUCACCGUCUUAACCUAUUGGGGAUCAACCUUAAUUCCCUCGCUAGAAACAAUAUGCCCCAAGAAAGCAAUAACAGUAAGCCAUAAUCCACACGUGGAAAAUUUUGCAUACAAUUCAUGAUCUUUGAGGGUCUGAAGGACGGUUCAGAGGUGACUAGCAUGAUCUUUCUCAUUCUUAAAGUAAACCAAGAUGUCGUCAAUAAAGACUAUGAUGAACAGAUCUAGAAACUGACGAAACACCCUAUUCAUUAGAUCCAUAAAAGUUGCGGGGGCAUUAGUCAACCCGAAGGACAUAACUAAGAAUUAAUAAUGGUCAUAUCAAGUUCAGAAAGUUGUUUUGGGAAUAUCAGCCUCCCUAACCUUCAACUGAUGAUACCCUGAACGAAGGUCUAUCUUGGAGAAACAUUUGGCACCCUGAAAUUGGUAAAAAAGAUCAUCAAUUAUAGAAAGAGGGUAUUUGUUCUUAUUAGUGACCUUAUUAAGCUGACAGUAAUCUAUACACAUACAGAAAGAACCAUCUUUCUUAUGCACAAAGAGUACUGGAGCACCCAGGGAGCGACGCUAGGAUGAAUAAAGCCUUUACCAUGAAGAUCUUUUAGUUGUUCUUUCAAAUUUUUUAGUUCAGCGAGAGCCAUUCGAAAUGGCGGAAUUGAAAUAGGAUGGGUGUCUGACAAUAAGUCAAUACCUAAAUCUAUCUCCUUGUCGAGUAGAAUCCCCAGGAGAUCAUCAGGAAAAACUUCCGGGAAUUCAUUAACUACAGGGACAGACUGGAGGGAAGGACUUUCAGUACUAGAAUCUUUGACCCAAAUGAGAUAGUACAAACAGCCCUUUGAUAUAAGAUCUUGGGCUCUAAUAUAAGAUAUGAAAUUUCCCCUGGGAAGGAAUACCCUCUCAUUUUAUCACUGGCUCACUUGGAAAAGUGAAAGUAAUAUUUUGGGUUCUACAGUCUAAUGUGGCAUAACACGAAUGGAGCCAAUCCAUUCCUAAAAUUGCAUCAAAGUCAACCAUAUCAAUCUCUAUAAGACCCGCCACGGUAUCACGAUGAUAGACAGACACCACAUAAUUUCUAUACACCCUCCUUGCCACAACAAAGUCACCAACAGGAGUGGAAAUAGAGAAACGUUUUGGAAUAAUUUCAGGCUCAAAUCGAAAACUGACUGUCACAUACGGGAUCACAUAAGACAACGUAGACCCUGGGUCAAGCAAUACAUACACAUCAUGGGAAAAGAUUUACAACGUACCCGUGACAACAUAUAGCAAAGCCUCUACAUCCUGGCAAUUAGACAAAGCAUAUAACCAAUUGUGACUGCUCCCAGUAGCUGAAGUAUCACCCUUAGAUGGUGACAGUGGUGCUGUGGAGUUAGCUUGGGACCUAGCGCCCCCAACAUUCCCUCUAACAGUGAGGUAGUCCUUCUUGAAAUGACCUAACCGACAAUUAUAACACACGCGCUCACCAUAGAGGCACUUCCGGGAUAGUUCCUCACACAAUUUUUGCAAUGAGGAUAUGUCCUAAAUGGUUAGGCCACACUCCCCUGUGACUGAGUACCCUGCAAUCCCGCUCCAUUGUUGGAUUAAAAAUUUUGAAACCGUCGAUCAAGUGGAGGUCUGGGCAUAGGGGCGCUAGCCGAAGACUGAGCAUUCCUCCAAAAAUUUUUCUUCGAUGAUUUAUCACACCAUUUGUUACCACCCUGGUGCUGACUGUUAUUCUGGUCUGUAAGUCUGGCCCUCUUGGCUUGCCUGUCUUUCUCCCUUUCCUCUGCCAGCCAUUUCUUCUACUCCUCAACCUGUUUCAUAUGAAUAGACAACCUGGAGAAAUCCAUGUCUCUAUUCAACAUAGCUCCUUUACAUUCCAACACCGGAUCAUCCAAAAGACCGGAUGCAAACUUCCUCAUGUGAUCUCUCAUGUUACCCGCUAAUUCUGGAGCAUAUCAAGACAGCUGGGUGAACUUCAAUGUGUACUCCUUAACACUCAUUUUCCUUGCUUCAAGUUCAUAAAUUCUUUAGCCUUUGACUCCCUCAAUUCCUAGGGAAAUUCCUAUGGAAAGAAAUGGUCCAGGAAAGCUUCCACAAACUCACCCCACACAGAAGGCUCAUCAUCACUACCCUUCGAAUACUCUCAUUCAUUAUACCACUGAUUGGCCACAUCCUUUAACUGAUAGCCGCCAAUUCCACCCCUUAAACCUCAUUCACGUGCAUAACUUUUAAAAUUUUCUCUAGUUCGUCAAUAAACUCUUGGGGGUCUUCCUCAAUCUUCAUGCCAACAAACAUGGGUGGGUUCAGCCAUAUGAAUUGACUAGCCCAUGUAACCUUAGAUGAACAAGACACAGAACCCACAUCUUCAGACUGAUGGGUUUGAGAGGCCACCAGCUGAGCAAUUAUAUGGAUGGACUAUCAAAACUUAGCAUUCAAAACUUCCCUCUGAGAAGGCUGGGGAUGGUUAACACUAGUCCAUAGAGCCCAAGGUGAACUAGCCAGAACUGGAGGAACUCCCGGAGUAGCAACAAACUCUGGGGUACGAGCUCAAUUACAUGUCCACAUCCUAUGUUUGGGACGGACAUCCUCAGCUUGGGUGUUUCAUUUGUUGGUCCUAUGAGAAGGCAUGAUCAAUUUUCUAAAAUACAGGGAACCAUUGGUUAGAGGAAAUUCAGAAUCUAUAGCAUGGACUAAAUCGAUAAGUGUGUAACGUGACACACCCAUAAACAGGAUUCUACCCAAUGCGAUUUCGCAGACACCCUGGGACCAUGAACUGUGCUCUGAUACUAAGUUUGUCACGAGCCGAGGCCCUAGCCGCGACGAGCAUCCCAAAUCAUGAAGGCCUGUACACCCUUAUCUAUCUAGAAAUCAUGCAUAACAUUCAUAUACUAUAAACAAAUGCGAAAAAGAUAAUAAAGACAGAAACAUGGUCAAUCACUUAGUUCAAUUAAAUAGUACGAAAUUUGAGUUCAUAACAUUCAAAAACAUACGACACUAGUCUGCGAAACCUCUAACAAUGUGAAAAUCAACAUCUAUCUAAAGACUGGAACAACGCCCCCAGUCGAACCACAAAAUGAAAUAAAUUAAUACAGUUUUUCAACUAGGCCUUUCGAAAUAGACAAGGCUCACCAAAUGCAACUUCUGACUCACAAGUCUACUGAUUAGCGGGACCCCGGGACUGUACCUCAAAUCCUGAAAUAUAGGAGGUCAAUACAAUUGUACUGGUAUGUAAAAUAAUCCAAAAUAGCAUCUUGUUAUUACCCAAAAUAGAUGAGAACAUUUUGUUAAACAUUACAUAGAAGAUAAUUAAAACACAUGGGUAUAAUUUAGAAUUUCCAAUUGUUUUCUUGAAAACAUGACUCACACUUUAUCUUACUCCUGAGAUAGAUGGUACACUCUACAUUUCUACAAUCCCACGGGCUAUAUGGAAUCUGCCCUUGACUCAGCGGCCAAGCCCCCAAUCAAAAUUUGCCGCAAGGACUGGAGUCCUAAUUACUAUUCUAGUAUACUAGUGUCUCAAGGACAAGUAUGCAUUGGCAUUAGCCAAAUUAUAUUACCUAAAUCGGCAAAUUUGAUUUCCAGCGAUGAGCCCUUACACUCAAAUGGUUUCUUCGGGUAACCAUCUACCUCUCUUUAGGACUAAUUUUAGUUCUUUAAACAUUAUGUUUCAUAUGUAAAGUCAUUCAAUGCUGAAAAUCUUAAGGGCAUGUCAUCAUCGGGUAUCGUCAUACCCAGACUUGCAAGUCGUUCAUAUCGUACCAAUGUUACAGCCCAUCUCAUUCAAAUCAUGCACUUGACCACCAAAGAAUCAUAAUAGUACAAGAGAGUCAUCAUUUUGAAAUCUAAAGAAAACUUAUGCAAAUAACCUCCUUUGCAAGACUUAAAACAUGCGGCGGUCAAAUCAGUUUACUCAAUCACAUGCAAUUAAUUUUUUUGAUGCAAGAGUAUAGUUAUAGCAAGGAACUCCCUCUCAUCAUAUCAUAAACCAUGCCAAACACUAUGAUAUUGAGAAACUUACUUUAAAAUCAUAAUUUAUGCUUUCAAAGAUCACUCACAAUACAAAUAUACACUUUAUUUCGCAACAAGAGAGGGAAAUUCAUUGUUCAUGCUAUCAAUUAAACAUUCUAAACUAUAUAUGUAUAUGCAUAAAGGGUCAAGAUUUUAUUACCACAAAAAGGGUUCAAUACAAUACGUAUAUUCUCAUCAAAAUGAUUUAAUAACAUGUUUUUCGAAACAAUAUUCAAAAACCCCUUUCUUGAAACAUGAUUAUAAAUUCUUAAACUUGAUAAAACCAUAAAAUCUAUGCCCAUGGAGUUUAAGGAUAGUCCUACAUACCUUAGGUCUUUUAGUUCAAAGAAUGAAACCCUAGCCUUGACUUUUUUCUUGAUAAUCUUGACUUAGGAGAUGAAUCCUUGAUCUUUGGGAGGGAAGUUAGGGUUUUGUUUUGAAGGAAUUUGAGCAACCUUUGGUAUACUAUGCCUUCACGACUAAAUUUCGUAUUAUGGUUGAGUUAUGAUGAGGGAAAAAGACUAAAAUACCCUCUUGGACCCGAGAAAAAUAAUAAAAUGAACUGGACACCCGACACGUUGAGCGUCGCACCGCGUCGCAAUGAUAUCGCGUUGGACUUCUAUUUUUCUGCUCCAAACAUGUCUCAAACAUCGUCCGAAAAAUCUGAAACUUCCCCGAGACACCCCUGAACAUGAAUCAACUUAAAAAUCUACGUCUCGAGAUUAGGAAGAUCGAUUUUGAAAUCAUUGAAGUUUAGGAACUCAAAAUAUGACUAAGUCCUUGUUAACACUUAGACAAUUUUCAGGUUAUUAGCUCCCUAAGUAUGCUAUUAAGGGUGGUACUAAGUCGGGAAUGCUAUGGAGUGUUACAUCUAUUUAUUUUGACUAUACAUGAUAUCCAGCCAAAGUGUAUCUUUAUAAUGUAGGAAAUAUAAGGGGACCUGGAUAAUAUCACAGGGCACAAAGAGGAUGUAAAAGGGAGAUAAACAUAAACUCACUUCAUAUCAUUUGUAAUACUCAACUCAUCCGUUACAAGAUCACAAAAGGGGUUUAUAUAGGUGUCAAUAAAGUCUUCUAGACUAACACCAAUUGAACACUUUCACACAUAUAUAGUUGAGUCAAGCCACAUUGAUAGUAUUAAAGUUACUUUCUUCGUUUCUUCUUACUUGGCCUCUUUAUUAAAAGUAGUUAUUUCCCUUUAUUUGUCCAAUUCAUAAAAUUAAGAGAAGUUUUAUUACUUCCUCGGUUUCAUUUUAGUUGAUCCUCUUUCUAAAAAUAUUUAUUUCAGUUUAGUUGUUCCUUUGAUGAAAUCAAGAGAAUUUUAAUAUGUUCUUUUAAUAAUACCCUUAUCAUUAAAUGACUGAACAAAUUGUAUAUAUUCAAAUUUAUAUUUUCAAAGCAUAAUUAAUAAGGCUAAUUGGGUAAAAUAAACUCCUAAUAGAUAUUUUUUUUAAUAGAUGUGUCAAGUCUAUAGGGUCAACUAAUACGAAACGGAGGGAGUAUGUUCUUUCAAUAUUAUCCCUAUCAUUUAAUGACUGUAUAAAGUAUUAAUAGUUAAAUUUAGAUUUUCAAAGAAUAAUUAGUAAGGUUAGUUUAGUAAAAUAAUCUUUAAUAAAUAUUUUUUUAAAAGAAGUGUCAAGUAAAAUGGAAUGGAGGGAGUAACCUAGAUGAUACUCUCUCUGUUUUAUUUUACUUGUCUGCAGUACUAAAGUAGUUGUUUCAAUUUACAUGUCCAAUUUAUGAAAUCAAGAGAAAUUUGUUGAACUUUUUUUUUAUCCUUUAUAUUAAAUAACUAUAUAAAAUAAUAAAGUUAAAUCUAAAGUUUCAAAACAUCAUUAAUAAGAUUAAUUUAAUAAAAUAUAAUCCUAAUCAAUACGGGCUAUAAAAUAAUAAAGUUAAAUCUAAAGUUUCAAAACAUCAUUAAUAAGAUUAAUUUAAUAAAAUAUAAUCCUAAUCAAUACGGGACAAGUAAAAUGAAAUGAAAGGGAGUUCAAAAAAUCAUGCACCUAGGAUAACUAAAAAUCAUUUGAAUCUAGACACUAAAACAUUUAAGGUUACUAUUUUCAACAUAUAAUACUUUAUUGCCUCAUAUCCCAUGCAUAUAAUUGUGUCAUUACAUUAUGUGUGUAGGAAAUGUAUUAGAUGAACAGGAUCAAAUUAUAAAGAAGAAGGAUAGACGGACUCAUCUAAGGACCUCGUGAAAUGAGAUAGAUAGAUGAGCCAAGAAAUAAGAGGAACUUUAGAGCUGAGCAGACUCGUCUGCUGUUCGUGCAAAGCGUAAACUUAGACAAGUCAGGAAGAAUUGAUCCUACGAAUUUUAAUGGACUUAUUUGAAUUAUUCCCACACAUCUUAGGUCAUUGAAACAUGCUAGAUAACAUAUUGAGGAGAUUGGUAGCAAAAAACACAUACAUAUUCUUUUGGAGGCAAGAACAUAAUGAGAAGCGGAAGCAAUAUGGGAAUUCGACUUUCACUUUCUUCCCUUCUCUACUUGUUCGUUAUGAAAUUAUAUGAGCUAAGUUCCUUAUCCUAGGUUUGAUGGAACCUUUUGUAGGAUGAAUUCUUGAAUCAUUUUGGAGUCUAGGUUAUAGUUGAACAACGUCAUUUUUAAGCAUUAAGAGAUUAAUGACUAAGAUUUUAAAGUGGAGGUUAGACAUCACAAAACUUUGACGCGAUCUAAUUAGUGAUCUAGAUCAUUGCAUGAAUAGACUAAUAGGUUAGCUAGAGUAAAUUCGAGAGAAUUACCACACUUGGUCGAGAGAUAUUUGUAGUAAGAAAAGAUUCAUGAUAGAUAAAUAUUAAUUCGGCUAGAUUACAGCUAGCAUAACGAGAACGAAACUAACAACCCGAGAAAUCAUAAUUCUAGGCCUCCUUAAUCUUGAAGUCAACCUCAUUCUCUAAUUAAUUGAUGUUAGUUUACUGCUUUAUUAUUUAUGAGGUAGUUUAAAAUAAAAAUCAUAAUCUUAAAAAUAAAAUAAUUGUUGGAACAUAUUUUCUUAGCUAGUAUAUCGAAUAGCUAUUCCUGAACUAAAUUAAUUCUCUGUUGUAUUCGACUCCAAACUUAAAAAUCAAAUUAUAUUUAAAACAGUCACUUAUCUUUUUUAGGACGGAUUUUGAGUAUAAUCAAUGCGCAAUAUCAUAACCCAAAAAAAUCUUAAUAUGAUAUUUAUUUAUUUUUUUCAAAAUAACUGACUUCAUCUAUUGACAAUAAAUAGGAUAAUGUCUUAUUAAUGUAAUCAUAUAGAAAUCUAAAAAAGUCAAAUCUUUUCUUUUUGGUUACUUUAUUUCCUCACACUGUUGGAGCUUACCUGUCAUAUACUUCUUUCAAAAAAAACAAUACUGAAGUUAUCACUACUCAAAACUGAAAAAACAAGAAGCAAAAAUCACAAGCUAUUUCCUCUCUUUCAUUCAAGAAAAAUGGUGAAGCCAAAAAGACGAACUGGUUCUCUACCGCACACCCGAAACAAGAGGCCACCACCAUCAUCAUCGUCUGAUGAUCGUUCAAAGGUUCACACAACUUUUCACUUCAUUCUUUUUUUUUUUUUUUUUGGUUUUUUGUUAAACGUUCGUAAGUGAAUUGAUUCUUUUUGUUCCUUUUAAUUGGUGUGAAUUGAUUUUUUAGGGAGAUGAUUUGUCCUCUUCUAUGAAGCGUCAAAAGGUUCAGUCAAAAUUCUCCUUCAUAUUUUUGUUUUUUGUUAAGUUUUGUGAGUGAAUUGAUUUUUUUGUUUCUUUUGUACAUUGGUUGGCAUUGACUUUUUAGGUAGAUGACAAUGUGGAUGCAUCAGCGAAAAAAUCAGUGCCGCCAACAGAGAAUUCGAAGGAGUUACUCUCGACUGGUCAGCCGGAAGUCAGAGGUGAUGGUGCGGCUGACGGAAAAGUUGACGCCAGAGCUGAUAGAAAAGUGGACGCCACGGUUGAUGGAAAAGUUGAUGCACCUGUCACAGAAGGCAAGAGUUCUAUAUAUUUUUUACAUGUUCAGUAUAUUAAAAAAUAUAUCAACUUUUACUUGUCGCGUUUAUUAAAUCAAGAGAUAAUUUAUUGAUUAGUUUCUAAUUUACCCAUAUUAUUCUUUAUAAGCAUUUCACAAUGUAUUUAUUACAUCAUUACCUUUAUUAUAUUCAACGAGUAAUAUAUAAUUUUAUUUAUUGCUCGUAUGCCAAGUCAAUAAGAAUAGGUAAAAAUGUACUUAGUCCCUAGUUUACACUAAUUAUUGACUAUAGUUAUUCCACAAUGUAUAUUUUGGCAACCAUUGAAUUUACUAUAUUUAAAGAGUCAUAUAAUAAUAUUUUCAUUCUAUUUAUUGCUCGAUAUGCCAAGUGAUACCGAGCAAGUAUACACUUACUUGCUAAUUUAUCCUUCUUAUUAAUUAUAGUCAUUUCAUAAUAUAUUCAAAGCAUAUUAUAUUUAAAAAGUUAUGUAGGAAAAUUGUCAUUAUAUUUAUUGAUCAGUGUACUAAAUUAAUAUUGGACAGGCAAAAGUAGAUAGAUGAAGUACUUUAUUUAUCUUUUUUAUUUUCUUGUGAAGUUCACUGUAUUUUUCUACUGUUAAGUGUCUCUGAUCAUAUUCAAUGCGUGUGUCGUUUAGGUUUUGUAGCGAAGAAGCCUUGGUGCGUACUUAUAUCAGAGUCUCUGCAGGUUUUCUAUUAGUAGUAUUUGUCUUUAUUUAACUAUUUGCUGUUGAAUUUUGUUUUAUCAGUUUGAUAUCUAAUAGAAUGUGAAUACAUUGCAGAAUCCAACAAUACCGGUUUUUGAGCGAUGUUUGGCGGUUGGUUCGGGCAAAUACCUUGAAUCAGUUCCUGAAAAGGAAAUGGUGUGUCUAAUAAGGCUUAAACAGGUAGUGUUCUAAAUUUGAACUACCUUGACUUUCCUCAUCAUAUAAUGUUGCUUUGUUUAACAACUGAAUUCUGUGUUCCAUAAUUCCAAAACAUCUCCGUCUGCUAGUGAAAAUUUUAGUAUGAAGAUGCUUUUGGAAAAAAAAGAAAGCAAAAAAGUUUCCAAUGCUGAUGCACUGAUCGUUUCUUGCCAUAAAUUCCCUUCGGGCAUUAGGAGCAAACUAACUUUAGGCGCUUGUCCUGAGAGGUUACCAUAGUAAUUUGAAUAUGAAAAUGCAGCACAUGGAAGGACUGAAUUAUUUGGCAUUUGUUUCGUUAUUUUUUGAGGUGAACCUCAUAUUGUACAUACAGUCUAAUUACUCAUUGUUCGUGGAAAUAAUCAGGCGAUCAAGUUGUAUUUGGUCAAGUGGGCAAUCACUCUUACGUAUCCUCUACAUGUUGUAGCAGCUAUUGUGAUUCCAUUUGAACCUGCUCCACCCUAAUGGCUUCUGUGAAUCUUUUAGUAUUUGAUCUUUAUGAUUGAAUAUCCUUGACAUUGUGCUAUAUAGAUUUUCCAGCUAUUCUUCUAUGAGAUUAAUUUUGAGUCACUUUUAGAUUUGACGACCAGACAAGUAUUGAAUAUCGAAAACCAGGCGGGAGAUGCUUUGUUGAUAAUUCUUCUAUUACCCUGUCUCAAGAAACAUCUCAGGUUAGUGGUUAAAACUUCCCAGGAAAUGAGCCGCUUCCUUCCCCUUGUUAUUCAUGAAAACAAUCUUGACGGCCUUGAAGUAGAUUCAGCUACAAAUGUCAGCAGCAAUAAUGCGCUGAUGUUGGAUUGACUAUCAAGAUCCCCCCUCUUGACGGAGACCUGGACUCUGGCAUAGAGGGAGGCAACUCAAAGUCAUUGGCUGAAUUACUUCUUUUGGCCUUCUUGCUAUGAGCUCACAGACUGAUCCAUGACAUAACUAAAGAAAGUAUUUAUUAACAGAUGUCGGAGGAAAGACAGCGGACUAGGGAAUCAAUGCCUGCUUCAACACCAGAGAUGUCCUCAAAAUCUGCAGCAUUUAAGGAACAAAUUAGUGCUGCAAUCAUUGAUGGACAUGAAAGUGAAGUUUCAUUCGAUAACUUCCCGUAUUACUUAAGGUAGGCCACAACACCACAUGGCAUAAUUCAAUUACCAUUGUAUAUCUGGAGUUCUACUUAGUUUCCUUUAUUUUUUAUUCAUUGUUUGCUCGUGACUUUUUUGAUCUCUUACACAUUUCCUGCUGGCUACUACAUAUUUCUUAUAUUCUACUAGUUGAGAAAUAAGAAAUACUUUCACUAUAUGCCUUUUUUUGUACAUGUUCUAGUUCUGUUUAUGAUAUUUAUUAAUGGAUUAAUUAAUUUUGCAUAAAAAAUAGUUGGGAUAUAAUUUCUCUGUUACCCAAAAAAAAAUUGAUCCAUUGAACGGAGUUCAAUUUAAAUAGUGGCUUCAUAAGAGGAAAUAUUGCAUAUAAUUUUGUUGGUCUCAACUGUUACGUUGAAGCUAAAAUGCAAGGCAAACUUUUAUAAAUUACUUCAAUAAUGGUAAGGUAUAUAAGAGCAUUAACAAAUUCUAUACAGUCGAAUGAAAAGGUUGACCGGUGCUUUAAUCCUGGUCCAAGUGACUACUUCUGUGUUUGUAUCCGAGUCAGUGUUUGUAUCCGAGUCAAUCUUGAUUCUUGUUUCUGUAUGAUAUUUAUGUAAUUCUCCAAAAAAAAAAAAAAAAAAAAAAAAGAGACUAGUUUUAGGGCAUUCCUCUCUUUCUACACUUGGAAAAGUUCGAAAAUUGUGUACGAGUCAAUUAUUAUACUAAGGUGGUACAUUUAGAGAGCUAGGGCAUCUCUUGUAUAAGCGUUGUUUACACCUAAUUUUUGCCCUGCACAACUAAAAUUUAAUCCUGAGUUUCUUCGGUCUUUGAUAAAAUUGAAACAUUUAUUUCAUCCAAAUAAAAAGGAUUUUUCGAAAUAUUUAUUUGAAUAAAUUUGUUAUUUUAAGUAGCGAUUAUAUAUCAUCUUGUUUAGUUAUAUGAGAUUUUAUAAUUUUGUUACUUAGAUAUUUAUUUUAUAAAAUAUCUGAUUUUAAUCAAGGCUUAUAGAUUCAAAUGAUUAAAGUUUUGAUUUAAAUAUAAUUUACUCUCAAAAAAUAAUUUAUUUGGAUAAAUAUGUGUUUGAUUUUAUAAAAUCAAGAAGCCCGGGAUUAAAGGAAGUAUUAAUUCGCAUCGAAUUUCAAUUUAAUUUAGCCAAUCUAUUCGAUUUGGCCAUAAUUGUAAUGCAAUCCGUCAAUUGAUUUCUAAUUUGGUCAAAAUUAAAUAAAUAUGGCUAAAUUUUAAACCCCAAUUUGGGUUAUAUUUUAAAUAACCUCAAAAUUUCCAAAAUCUCUCAUAACUUCUACCUAAUUCCACAAAAAAUAAUUUCAAAUUGUACUAUUCCUGUACUAUUUCCCCCAAAUUUUGUCUUUUCCCAAUUUUGAAAUUCAAAAGUUGUACUACAUUGUACAAUUUUCCCCCACAUUAUCUUCCACCUCACCUUAUCUUCAAUUUUAAAAUUCCAAAAACACCCUUAAUUAUUUUUUCUCCCACAUUGGUGGAUGACAAGAAAUAAAUCCUCAUCCUUUCCUAUAAAUACUUUUUUCCCACAUUGGUGGAAGAAAGGAAAAAAAAUCUCAUUUUCUCCUAUAAAUACUACCACUACUUUGGUAGAAAAGGGGGAAAAGGAAAGAAAAAAAAAUGGCUAGAAAGGUGAAAAAUCCUUUUUGAGCAAAAUAGUUACUUUUAUUUAGUAAAAAUUUUUAUUUCAUUGAGUUGGUCAGCUAAUAAAAAACUUUAAGUUGCCGGUGACGUUUCUUUGGUGGUGGUUGAUUCCGACGAAACUCGUAGUCUCGUUUUGCUACCCCAAAAAAGGUAGACACAUCUUUUUUUUUCUUAAUUUUUAUUAUCGUUUUCUUCUUCAUCUUUUUUCUUCUUCAUAGUUCGUAGAUAUAAUUUUAUUUGCUAGGAUUGUAUGUUAUAGAUGGCCUUAAAGGCCCUAGGACGUUGUGGUAUCGAUAUUCUAAUUAUUUUCAUGUUCAUGAUAUAAAAAUGAGCUAACAAUAGUUGUAUGUGUCUUUUUUUUUUUACUUUAUUCUUUGAUAUUUUGGAUAAAGUUUCAAUCUUUGCUUAAAAUAUGUAUUUAUGCUUUGUUUAAACUCAUUGUUGUUGGAUAUAUUUGUUUUUAGCAUGUAAAGUUAUUUUCUUUUUGUUGAAAAGAAUAGUUAAUGUUGAAUGUUUUGCCUUUUCACCUUAUUCUUUGAUUAUUUUGGAUAAAGUUUAGAUCUUUNNNNNNNNNNNNNNNNNNNNNNNNNNNNNNNNNNNNNNNNNNNNNNNNNNNNNNNNNNNNNNNNNNNNNNNNNNNNNNNNNNNNNNNNNNNNNNNNNNNNNNNNNNNNNNNNNNNNNNNNNNNNNNNNNNNNNNNNNNNNNNNNNNNNNCAAACUCAUGUCUUGUUUAAAUUUAUUGUUGGCGGAUAUGUUUGUUUUAGCUGUAAAGUUGUUUCUUUUAUGUUGAAAAAAUAGUUACUAUUGUUUGUUUCACCUUAAUAAAAAUAGUAAUUGAUUAAAUCAAGAAUUUUUCAUUUACUUUUUAAUUAUUUUAAGGGAUCUCCAAAAUCUUCAUAUAAAAGAUGAAUUGCUAGCUUUAUUUUUCAUCCACGAUGUUUAUUCCUCUUUUUCGCAUGUUUUCAAAUUCGUCAAAAUGAUGAGAAAGUUCGAAUUUUUAUGGCUAAAUAGAAUUAUUUAGAUAUUUUCGAGUCAUGCAUAGUAUGAUUGUAAAACAAUAUUUCACUUUUAGAAAUGCUAAACUUUAUUCUAAUUUUCUUGCGCCCUUUGGAUUGUUAUAUGUGCUCUUUGUGAGUAUAAAGACUUGAUUUGUGUCACUCAUUGAUUCAUAAUAUCAAAGGAGAAUCAACGAUGUCUUAGAAAUAUAAACCAUAGGUUAUUACAUGUUUUUUUUCAUAAAAUUUUGGUUGUAAUUUAGUUGUAUGAAUUUUCUUUAAUGUCGCAUUAAUUGAAAUUUAAAGAUUCUCUUGCUUGAAAAGUUAAACUUUAUUUUCUUUUGUUAUAUGGAUUAGUAUCUAUGUUUGUUCAAUUUUAGAAGUCAUGAGUAUUUUCCUUGUUGCCUCAAUCCUUUACUUUCGCAAGCUUACGUUGUUUGUUUCUUGCAUUAAUUCAUUGAAUGUGACCUUCUUCCUUUUACCUUUAUUCAUUCUUGUAUGAACAUAAAUCAUGAGGCAUGUAAGUGAGUGUCUUUGCUUUGCAUUUUAUUUGUUGGCUCUCAUUCUUGUGCAAGUGUGGUUAUCAUUGUCAUUCAAAAUUGGUUCUUGAUAUUUUCUUUCUCUUUGAAAUAUGUCACUUUUAUGCCUUGAAUGUAUAUUAAUUUCUUUAUCUUGUUUUUGCAUGCAAAGAAAAUGUCUCGAGUCCAAAUGGAUUCCUCUCGUCUUGCAUUUGGUAAUGGGCAAAUGAGGUCUACCCCUUCGAGUCAAGUUCGAAGUUUAAACGCGAGGUCCAUUACAUGGCGUGCGAGUGCUAGAAGAUAGAUGAAGAAGGAAAAUGUGUCAAAACCCAUUGAUGAUGUCAUUAAGAGACUUGAAAAGUCUCAAUUUUUAUUAUUUUCUUUUUAUUUAUUCAUUUAGUCAUUUAUUUAUUCAUUCAUUUCAGCCUCGAAGCGAAAGUUGUAUUUAAUAUAGGUGGAGCAAGACUCGAGCCAAAGGCUCGAAAAAUAGUUUAGGACAGUUGAAAUGGGUCAGAAGCCCAACUAGACUAGGACAGGUCUCAUUGAUUUUGGCUCAAUAGUCUAAAUCCUUUACUUUCUCCUCCCUUCCCCUUUUAAGUGUUUAUUUAUUUAUUAAUUUUAUUUAGACUUAGUUAAAAUCCCUACUAAGUCGCCUAAAUCUAUUUUAAACAAGUCUUUUUUUAAAAAAAACAAUAAAAAUCAAAUCACCAUUUCAAUAAAUUAAUCUUUUCAGAAGUUAAUCAAAAGAUGUUUUCAAACAGUCCGGAUAACCGCAAGUUAGCGGACGUUUUAGAUGCCUAACACCUUCCUAAAACGUUAAUAGGAACUGCUUAUCUAGAAUCUCUAACUUAAAAUAAUUUUUCUGUUUUGAACCGUUUGAAGUAACUCUCUAAAGGUUUCUUAAUUCUUUUUUAAAAUUAAGUGGCGACUCUUCUCAAAAAGUCAAAAUUUCUCCGCAAAAAAAGUGUGAUGAUUGGAUUGGAUUAUGAAAGGAACUCUUGAUAGUACAUUUUGGAUUCCAGUGGCUACUCCAUUCCAAAUAUGAAUUAAAUAGUAAUUCAAACCUAUUGUAUGGUGAAGAGAUGAAGAGGAAUGACUUAGUGUUGGGUUCAAUGUGUGUGUGUGAAUGGAAAUGGAGGGAAAAAUAGUGAAGGAAAAUAGAGUAACCAAAAUGAAAAGCGUACUCUUAUAUUGGAAAGUUCACUAAUUCUCCCACAACUUGUAAGUGUUUAUAAUGAGUAACACCAACUUCACAUGGAUAGUGAUGCAAGAACAAGGUGGUGCCUUGCGCCUUUGUUGUUGCUCGCUCGGCUUCGGAUUUGUAUUUGAUCGAUGAGAUCUAAAUUUUUAGGUAAAUUUUAUUUAAAACUUAUUUUACAAGUGAAAAAUUAAUCCAAAAAUCUGAUAUAAUUAUUUUUCUUCAAGUGUGGGCGUACUGCACCUGCUCACUGGAAUUCGGACAGUGUCACCUGUGGGCGCAGUUCUAGCACAGACUGGGCACAGGUGAUGUGACUGUACUAAAAAAGGUGCCUUUCUUCUGAACCAAUGUAUCUUUCUGAAAGGACACAUUAAAGGCUAUAAAUUCCUUAUAUAUUUCUCAGGAAUAGACAUGAUUUUUGACAGCAAAAACACUCUUCUUCUAUACAAAAACUCUAUGAUAAUCAUUAAGCUAUUGAGUGAGUUCGACGAAUCCAAUAAUUUGAGGUACCGCUAUUGUUCGGAUUGAAAGACAUUUUAUCAUGGGAGGAAGAUUCCAUAACAUCGGGUACAGUGAGGGGAAUUAUUCCUUAAGGACACUCCGUGAAGUCGAGGGACUUGGCUUUACAUUUCUAUUUCAUCUCAUUUUUGAAAUAUAACAUACUUCUUGGAUAGAUUAUUCAUAAUCUUCUGUUGAAGGUGUUAAGGAACUUCAUAAGUAUUCUUAUCUUAGACUUGAACUUGUAUUGAAGUCGUUGUUGCAUAUAUACAGAUUGUUGUAUCCGAAAAUAUUGAAAAUAACAAUCUUAAGGAAUAAUCUUUUGAAAUCUGUAUUGCUUGUUUCCUGGAGAUUAAAACUUUAAGAUUUCUACUCCGUUUGAACUUAACUAGUGAUUUGAAGACAUAAAAUCUUCAUCACGAGUUAAAGAGCAAUCGGUUGACGUUUGAAAUUCAUAAAAACUUCAUCGUUAAACUAGAAACAAGAGGCGUUUAAAGUUGCUAUAACUUUUUAAUAAGUAUUUUGAUAUACUAAAGGUACUGUUUUGUGGUGAUAGGAAAAUGACAACUGAUAGUCAAGUGCAUGAUGCUACAACGACUGUGGGGGCAACUAGUAUUGCCACAACAAGUCGCACGAAUGCUUCGCCAGUAAUGGAACCAGCGGAGAAACCCGAAAAGUUCGCGGGUAUUGACUUCAAGAGGUGGCAGCUCUUCCACCUCACCACUCUUUAUCUUCAAAGGUUCACAUUUGAGGAAGCAUUGGAAGUGCCCGAGGAAACCCCUAAACAAGAGCGAUUUGUGAUUGUGGAGGCUUGAAAACACUCAGAUUUCCUUUGCAGGAACUACAUCUUGAGUGGUCUCCAAGAUGAUCUCUAUAAUGUGUAUAGUGGAACAAAGACAGAAAAAGAGUUAUGGGGAGAGCUAGAACAAAAGUACAAGGCAACGGAUACCAGAACUAAAAAAUUCUUCAUUGCAAGAUUCCUGGAGUAUAAAAUGAUAGACAACAAGCCUGUUGUUUACCAAGUGCAGAAACUGCAAGUGAUCAUCCAUGAUCUCCUUGCGGAAGGUAUGAUUUUGACAAAUACCUUUGUUGAAUAAUUUAAACAUAUUCUUAGUAUUCACAUGAACUUUAUUGUAGGUUUGAUUGUGAAUGAAGCGUUUCAAGUAGCAACAAUAAUAGAGAAGCUACUGUUGAAUAUUAAACAGAAAAAACAGGCAGAAAAAUUAAUGAAAAAACAGAGAACUUGUUCUUUAUUGAAGCAAAUAGCCUGUAUAUAUAGGCUUACAAACUUAUAAACAAGUCAUUGCUUACAACUAGGACUCAACUUACUCCUAACUAAUACCUGCAAUUUGACUAAAUCAAAAACACUAAAAAAAAUAGCUAACAACUUUAAAGCUUAUCUAAAAAGUUAUUAAUGACUUAAGACAUUAAGAAAAUAUGGAGAUAAACAAAUAACCUCGUCUUUCAUAUUCUAGUGUUGAUAUCUUCAAUACUCCUCCUCAAUACCAGCUUCUUCUUUAUUCAUCCCACCAAGAUGGUGAUAAAAUCUUUCAAACUUAUUGCCACUCAAACCUUUUGUAAAUAAAUUUGCAGCUUGGUCUUCCGUUCUAACAUGCUUCAACUCAAUUUCCUCUUGUAAGACUUUCUCUCAGAUAAAAUGGUAAUGCGCCUCCAUAUGCUUAGUUCUAGCAUGAAAAACUGGAUUCUCUGCCAAACGUACUGCUGAUAAGUAGUUAUCACAAUACAGAGGAAUUGGAUACACCACAUGUUGAUGCAACUCCUUUAACAAUUGCAUAAGCCAACUGCUUUCUUGAGCUGCCAUAGCUGCUGCUCGGUACUCUACUUCAGUGGUUUACAAAGACACUGUUGGUUGUCUUUUGUUACACCAAGAAAUUACUCCUGACCCAAGCAUGAAAACAUACCUGAUAGUUGAGCGUCGAGUAUCAUGGUCACCUGCAUAGUCAACAUCAUAGUAACCAACUAGCUUAUAAUCUUCACCUCUUUUGUACAUAAUACCAUAGCCUAGCAUAUUUUUCACAUAUCUCAGAAUUCAGCGAACUGCUUCCGAGUGAGGUUUCUUCAGAUGUUGCAUGUAUCGACUCAUCAUACCAACUACAAAAGAAAUGUUUGAUCUUGUUAAAGUAAAUAAGACUUCUAACCAACUGCCGGUACAUUGCAGCAUCUUCUAAAUCUUUCCCUUCAUGAGCACAUAUUUUUAGAGUUUGGCCCUAUUGGAAUCGAGAUUGGCUUACACUUAAGCAUUCUGAACUUCUUUAGCAAAUCUCUGAAAUACUUUUGUUGAUGGAGAAAUAUUCCUUCUUGAGAGUAACUGACCUCUAUACCAAGAAAAUGCUUGAUCUAUCCAAGUUCUUUCAAUUGGAAACGAACUGACAAGUUUUCCUUAGUUCGGAAAAUUUCUUCUUCAUAAUCUCCUAUGAUAAUUAAAUCAUCCAAAUAUACUAGUACAGUAGCUUUUUUCUGUUCUUUAGCUUUGACAAACAAGCUAGCAUCUGCACUAGUCACCAAAUACCCACUAUCGGUAAGAAAUUCAGCAAUUUUACCAUACCAGGCCCUCGGUGCUUGUUUUAAUCCAUAAAGAGCCUUUCAUAGCUUACACACAUACUCAGGGUAAUCUUGAUUUUGAAAUCUAAUUGGCUGAUCCAUGUAGAUCUCCUGAUCCAACUCCCCAUGUAAAAAUGGAUUCUUUACAUCCAUUUGCCACAUUCUAAUUUUUACAAGCAGCAAGUACUAAUAGGACUUGUACAGUUGUAAGCUUUGAAAAUGGACUAAAAUUUUUAUCAUGGUAUAGUCCAUAUUGUUGAGAUAAUCCAUGAGCCAUCAAAUGAGCCUUAUGCCUUUCGAUUGACCUAUCUGCUCGACGUUUUAUAUUGAAGACCCACUUGCAAGAUAUUGGCUUCACAUCACUUGGUUUUGAUACAAGCUACCAAGUCUGAUUCUAUUUUAGUGCUGCCAUUUCUUCUUUCAUAGCUUUACUCCACUUCUGAUCCUGAGAUGCUUCUUCAAACAUCUCAGGCUCAUUUGCACCUUUUUCCUCCACUAUUGCAGUAUUGGCAUACUUUGGAUUUGGCUUUCUGAAUCUUGUUGAUUUUUUAAGCUGAGUUGGUGUUUCCACUCCACUAGGUUCAGCUUGUUCACAUGGUUAUUGAUACACACCAGUUUUUUAGGGACAUUGGGCUACACCUUCUUCGACAUUGUCUUUGUCAUCUACAUGUUUUGCUUCUCCUAAACCCAAUUGGAUUUGAGAAGAUUGCACCACAUCUUUAAGAACAUCUGAUUCUGGCAGUACCUCCUUGUCUGAUGACCACUAUGAAGAAGAUUCAUCGAACACCACAUUCCGGGAUGUGUAACACUUUUCGGUUGUCGGGUCACAACAUCGCCACCCAUUUCUUUGACUGUCAUAUCCUACAAAAAUACAUCUGACAGCCUUUUUAUCCAUUUUGCUAUGUAAAUGAUUAGGUACAAAUACAUAGCAAACACAUCCAAAAACUCAAAAAUAACUAACUGAAGGUUUCAUAUUCCAUAAUUUUUCGAAAGGUGAAAUAAAAGAUAACCUUUUUUGAGGAAGCCUAUUGAUCACAAAUGCAGCCAUCCUCAUUGCUUCUGUCCAAAAACGUCCUGGUAUGUUCUUCGUGUGAAGCAUGCUUCGACAAAUUUCUGUUAGGUGCCUAUUCUUCCUUUCUGCUAUGCCAUUCUGUUGUGGAGUGCUAGCACAUAUGAACUGCUGACGUAUUCGGCUUUCUUGAAGGAAAUCACAGAACUUGUCUGAGGUAUACUCUCCCACAUUAUCACUACGUAGACAAGAAAUUCUUUUGCCAACUUCCGCUUCUACUACCUUCUUAAAUUCUUUAAACUUUGGAAAAAAUUCAUAUGUUUCUUUCACAAAGUAAAUCCACACAUACCUUGAGAAGUCAUCAAUAAAAGUCACCAUGUACUUCAUCCCACCUAUGGAAACUUGUUUCACAGGCCCAAACACAUCGGAGUACACCAACUCCAAUGGUUCUCUUGCUUGAAAGUGGGAUUCUUCAAAAGACAGCUGAUGUGCUUUUCCAUACUAGCAGCCUACACAUACUGUGUCUUUUCUCACUUUAAGUCAUGGAAGUCCCUUCAACAUCGACCUCUUCAUCAUCACCUCUAAUUUGGAAUAGCUAACGUGACCCAGUCGUAUGUGUCAUACGUGUGCUGUUUCAUUCCUUUUCGUCUUGUCUACAUAUGCAACUUCUACAGACAUUACAUAGACCGAUUCCAACCUUUGUCCUUUCAUCACCGGUUCUUCUAUAAUAUCCAGGUCCCGAUAGACCUUCACAUCUUGUGGUCGAAAUAGAACAAAAUAGCCAGAAGAUGCUAACUAUGCCACAGAGAGAAGAUUUUUCUUCAUACCUGGGACAUGGUAAACAUUUUGGAGCGGUACCUCAGUAUUACUAUAUUGAGCAGAAACUACUGUAUUACCAAUGUGAGCUAUCGGUAACUUUGAGUUGUUCGCCAUUACGACUACCCUGCUUCCCAUUAUACUCUGACAGGUACUGCAACUUUUUUUUGUCACCCGUCAUAUGAUUUGAGUAUCCCGAGUCAACAAUCCAAUCCUUCUCGUAAUAAAUUGUCUUUGUCAUUGUAACGAGAGCCAAUUCUUCUUUUUCUACAGCAAAGAUGCAUCUGCAUCCCACUUUUCUUCACUAUUUGAUGUAGCAGUAUUGCUCUCAACAAUUUUUUUCUUUGACCAGAAAUCUUUUGCCAUAUGACCUCUUUUUCCGCAAUUGUAACACUUCCCUGGAAACUUCUUACCGUCGUCUUAAUUCUUCGAAGCUCCUCCUACACGAACACUCUCUCUGCCUUGAUGACUUCUUGCCAUAUCAUUAUUUUUCUUGGAUAUACCAGUGGUAUGCUAUUUGGAAUCCACCUGCCUCGAUUGGCAUAGAGUGCCUCUUCUUCCUUCUUAAACGAGACUCCUCCCAUUUGCUUAGCUAAGAAUUCUUGACCAGCUAACAAAUUUUUGAAUUCUACCAGUGACGGUUGAACUUGCCAUCCUUGUAUGGUAGCAAUGAAGCUUCUAAAUUCUAGCUUCAAACUAUGAAUAAUGAUGCGCUUCAUCCUAGUAUCACCAAUAGGAGCCUCCGGAUCCAACUCAGCAAUCUCCCGGCAUAGAAACUUUACUUUGUGAAAGUACUGUGAGAUCGUCAUGUCGCGUUGUGACACUGAUAGGAACUCAGACUCUAAGAGUUGGAGCUUCGUAUCAUUCUUCUUGGAGAACAGCUUGGCGAACGUAUCCCAAGAUUCCUAUGGAGUUUUGGCAUCACAUAUAUGCUCUAGUACAUCUUCUUCUACUAUGGUCUUCAAGGAGAAUAUUGCUUUACCCGCUCUGAUUCUCCACUUCCGUAAGAUACCAUUCGUGUCUUCAGCUUCUGGAGACAUAACCUCUUUUCCAUUUACUACUUCCCAUAAGUCUUGGCCUUGCAAGUACGACAUGUUUGUGCUAACAAGAAUUUGUUUUUGAUGUUCACUCUAGCUCAAGGAGAAGGAAAGAUAUACAUGGAAAACUUUGCUACUGGAAAAGUAGAAGGAACAGGAAAAAUGUGGUUGAAAAUGACUUCAAGCAAAGUGUUGACACUCAAUAAUGUCUUGUAUGUUACGGAGUUUUGAAAGAACUUGAUUUUUAUUUCACUUCUAGACAAAAAUGGAUUCAAAUGUGUAUUUAUUUCUGAAAAAAUUGUACUUAGUAAAGGAGAAGUGUAUGUACAAAAAGGCUACCUCAAUGAAUGCCUAUUCAAAAUGAAUGUAAUGAAUGUUGAAAUCAAUAAAAGUUCAAUUUCUUCUUACUUGCUUGAGUCUUAUGAUUUGUAGCAUGAAUGAUUAGGCCAUGUUAAUUACAAAAUAUUAUGAAAACUAAUAAACUUUGAAGUUUUGCCAAACUUUGAGUGAAAUAAAUCAAAGUGUCAAAUGUGUAUGGAAUUAAAGUAUGAUAAGCAUCCGUAUAAGUUAGUUGAAAGGAAUUUCAAUCCCUUAGACUUAAUACACAUUGACAUUUAUGAUAUGAAGUCAACACCAUCAUGAAAUGGGAAAAAGUAUUUCAUAACUUUUAUUGAUGAUUGCACUAGAUACUGUUAUUUCUACUUGCUAAAUAGUAAGUAUGAAGCAAUAGAUGCAUUUAGGCAAUACAAAACUGAAGUUGAAAAUCAGUUGGAGAAAAAAAUCAAAACUAUAAGAAGUGAUAGGGGCGGAGAAUAUGAAUCUCCCUUCACCGAAAUAUGUGUAGAGAAUGGACUUGUCCAUAAAACUAUGGCUCCGUAUUCACCUCAAUCUAAUGGAAUUGCGGAAAGGAAAAAACAAACUUUGAAGGAAAUGAUUAAUGCCUUACUUAUAAGUUCAGGUUUACUUUAAAUCUUGUGGGGGGAGGCUAUCCUUACAGCCAACCGAAUACUCAAUAGAGUUCCCCAUAGUAAGACACAAUCAAUUCCUUAUGAAAAAUGAAAAGGAAAAAAUUCAACUUGAAAUAUUUCAAAGUGUGGGGGUGUCUAGCGAAGGUCCAAGUUCCUAUGCCUAAAAGGGUUAAGAUAGGACCUAAUAUAGUGGACUGCAUAUUCAUAGGAUAUGUAAAAAGUAGUAAAUCAUGCCGAUUUUUGGUUCAUAAAUUCGAACAUCCAAAUAUUAAUAAAAAUAAGGUAAUUGAAUCAGAUAAUGCUAAAUUCUUUGAAAAUAUUUAUCCGUAUAAAACUAGACAUGAAUAGUCUAGUGGGGGUCUAAACGGCCUCUAGAUGAAUCAAGUGAGAAUGUACAUAAUAAUGAGAAUCCAAGACAUAGUAUACGUCAGAGAAUGUCAACUUCAUUUGGAUUAGAUUUUAUAACAUUUAUCUUAGAAAAUGAGUCUCAAAUGUUUAAAAAAGAGAUGUCAUCGUCAGAAUCAUCCUUCUGGAAAGAGGCAGUUAAUAUUGAGAUUGAUUCAAUCUUAAGCAACCAUAUGUGAAAGUUAGUUGAUCUUCCUUCAGGAAAUAAACGUUUAGGUUCUAAAUGGAUCUUCAAAAGGAAAAUGAAAGCAAAUGGUACUAUUGACAAUUACAGGGCAAGACUUAUAGUAAAAGGCUUCAAAUAGAAAGAAGGCCUUGAUUACUUUGAUACAUACUCGCCAGUGACAAGGAUAACAUCGAUUCAAAUGUUAAUUGCCUUGGCGGCGGUAUAUAGUCUUGGCAAACGAAUUCAAGAUAAAUGAAUGUGAUAAGUGUGUCUACAUUAAAAAUACUCCAUAUCACCAAGUCAUUAUUUGUUUAUAUGUGAUGAUAUGUCGAUUAUCAAUAGAGAUAUUUCUGACAUAAAUGCCACAAAACUAAUGCUUGAGAGCAAGUUUGAUAUGAAAGACCUUGGAGUUACGGAUGUGAUCUUAGGAAUAAGAAUCCAUAGAACUCCACAAGGGUUGGCAUUGUCACAGUCUCAUUAUAUCGAAAAGGUACUUUGACAAGUUCAAGUAUAUGGAAUUUGGUAUUGCCAAAACUCCAUUGGAUGUGAGCUUUGCACUUCAAAAGAAUGAAGGUGGAAGUGACUCACAAUGUACGCAAGAGUAUUAGGAUGUUUAAUGUAUAUAAUGAAUUGUACAUGACCAGACAUAGCAUGCGCUAUUAGUAAGUUGAGUUGGUACAUGAGUAAUCCCAAUAAAACUCAAUGGAUGGCAAUGAAAAGAUUUUUGGGUAUAUUAAAUACAGUCAAGACUAUACUUUGCAUUAUAAUAAAUAUCCCGUGGUACUUGACGGAUAUAGUAAUGCAAAUUGGAUCACCGGAUCGAACGAAGUAAAAUCCACAAGUGGAUAUUUAUUUACUAUCGGUGGAGGAGCGGUCUCUUGGAAAUCAUCCAAACAGACAUGUAUUGCUCGCUCUACAAUGAAAUCUAAAUUUAUCACAUUGGAUAAAACUGAUGAAGAAGUAGAAUGGCUCUGGAAUUUCUUGGAAGAUAUUUCUUAUUAGCCCAAACCAGUGGCACCAGUACGUAUACACUGUGAUAGAUAAGCGGCAAUAGGUAGGGCUGGGAGCAUGCUAUACAAUGGUAAAUCUCGUCACAUAAGAUGCAGAUAUAAUACCGUUAGAGAACUUCUCUCUAGUGUAAUUAUCACUAUUGACUACGUAAAGUCAAAUGAUAAUGUGCCAGAUCCACUUACAAAGGCCUAUCUAGAGAAGAAGUGAAAAAGACAUCAAGGGAAUGGGUUUAAGGCCUAGGACAAGUCAAUAUGGCGGUAACUCUACCUAGAAGACUGGAGAUCCCAAGAGCUAGGUUCAAAGAGAUCAAAUAAAGUUGUGUCUGAUAGGUUCAACAUUGUUAAUAUACCAACCCAUUUUCAUGAUGUAGAUAAUAUGUAGUAAACAAGGAUAAGACUUACGGUGAAAAGUCUUUUAAUGAUUAUCUAAAUUUGGAAGAUUUGACCAAAUAGUUUAAUCUACUGGAUUGAAUAUUUAGAAAUAACCUAUGUGAGGGCGAAGUGGAAGCUUCUUCAAGGAGAAUGUUAGUAAAGGCCUAUUCUCUAAUAAGCUCUUAUGAAACUGGGACGUGUUCAUGGCUGAAAAGAACAAAACAAUGAGAACUAUAAACAGUAAAAGGCUAAUUAUAUGACAUGUGUUAUCUAGGUGUACAUUAAAGCUCGAUGGUUCAAAGAUAUCAAAUCUACCGAUUGAUCGAGUGCAUCCGAUGCAUGUUCACUACCAAAAGUUCAAAGGAAAACCUACUUAUCCAAAUGCAAUCAGUCUUUACUAAAUGAUCACAUGCUUGUUCAUAAAUUCUUCAAAAGAUAGUCAUUCUCCAUUCAUGUGGGAGAUUUUUGGGUUUAAUGUGUGUGUGUGUGAAUAGAAAAUGGAGGGAAAAAUAGUGAAGGGAAAUAGAGUAACCAAAAUAGAAAGUAUACUCUUAUAUUGGAAGGUUCACUAAUUCUCUCACAUUAGUGAGAGAAGGCAACUUGUAAGUGUUUAUCAUGAGGAACACCAACUCCGCAUGGAUAGUGAGGCAAGAACAAGGUGGUGCCUCGCGCCGUCGUCUUCAUCACUCGCUCGACUCGGCUCGACUUCGGCUUCGGCUUCGUAUUUAUCAAUAGAUGAGAUCUAUCUUUUUAGAAGAAUUUUAUUUGAAAUUUGUUUUUCACGUGAAAAAUUUAAUCCAAAAAUAUGAUAUAAUUAUUUUUCUCCAAGUGCGGGCGCAUUUCGGACGCCAUGCAAAUGCAUACACAACGCCUCACAAAGGGAUGCGACCCUUCAAGGGAAAAGGUGCACUGUCUUGCACUGUUAGGCGAUAUGCGUGUGCAAUUUAAUAACCUGUGGAUACAGGUGCAGCGCAGAUGCUCACUGGAAUUCGGGUAGUGUCACCUGCGGUCACAGUUUGGGCGCAGUUCCAACAUAGACUGGGCGCAAGUGACGUGACUGUACUAAAAAAGGUGCCUUUCUGCUGAAUCAAUGCAUCCUUUCUAGAAGGACAAAUUAAAGGCUAUAAAUACCUGAUAUAUUCCUCAGGUAUAGACAUGAUUUUUUACAGCAAAAACACUCUUCUUCUAUACAAAAACUCUGUGUGAUUAUUAAGCUAUUAAGUGAGCUCGACGAAUCCAACAAUUUGAGGUAGCGCUAUUGUUUGAAUUGAAAGUCAUUUUAUCCUGGGAGGAAGAUUCCAUAACCUCGGGUACAGUGAGGGGAAUUAUUUCUUAAGGACACUCCGUGAAGUCGGGGGACUUGGCUUUACAUUUCUAUUUCAUCUCGUUUCUGAAAUACAACAUACUUCUUGGAUAGAUUAUUCAUAAUCUUGUGUUGAACGUGUUAAGGAACUUCAUAAGUGUUCUUGUCUUAAACUUGAACUUGUAUUGAAAUUGUUGUUGCAUAUAUACGGAUUCUUGUACCCGAAAAUAUUGAAGAUAAAACUUAGGUCACAAAUUUGAGCCUCGAGCCAUGCAAACUAAGCCUUGUAUUGUUAUUUAAAUAGGGAAGGAUAGAGGGGCGGACCCAUUAUUUUCAAAUUUUGAAGCUACGGUCGGUUUAAGUGCUGACCCUAGGCGAAUUUCUAACAAUUUCAAUUUUUAGGUGAGAUAGAUUACACAGUUCAACUUGGAAUCAAAAUCAUACUCGUUCCCACUCUUGAUUUAACCAAUGUUAGUCCCCCAUGCUAUAUUGUACAUGCACCAAAUAUCAAAUUUCGGACGCGCAAUAGGGUAUUGAAUGGGCCACACUGGUUCAUACAAUGGGCAAACUACAGUUUUUAUCCAAUGUACAUUGCUCUUUCAUUAAUUGUUGCCGUUUACCCAGCGUUAGCUUUGCCUCUUCUUGUUUUUGAUGGUUUUAGUAAUCUCGUAGUAUGUAGCUACGUACUUUAAAUAAACCUUGGUUUUGAUGACGAUGUCUAUAUCUAUGAAUUUGCAGCGAAACCACAAAAAAUGUGCUGAUUACCACUUUAUAUUUACACCUAAAGCAUAGAGAGCAUGAUAGAUAUACCUCUAAGCUUCCAGCGUUCAACUCAAGAAUUCUGUUUUCUGGUCCUGCAGGUUUGUUGCUUUGUCAGUAAUCAUUUAAAUUAUUUUGAAUUGUUAUUAAUUAUUUCAUUUCUCUCACUAGAGUGCUUGGUAGAUAUUAAUCUAAGGGUACUGAUUAGUUCUGCUUUUGUUUUCCAGGAUCGGAAAUAUAUCAAGAGAUGCUGAUGAAGGCACUUGCUCGUUAUUAUGGGGCUAAACUGAUUAUUUUUGAUAGCCAAGCUUAUUUGGGUGUAAGAUCACAUUACUCAUUAUAUUUUUGAAGAACAUAGCAAAAUUACAACUUAUUUUUCCUUUUUUGUUGUUCUUGACCCCUCCUUGAAGUACUACUAGUAGCCCUAGCAUUUAAGAUGCACUUCUCUAUAAGUGCACUUUGGUAGUUAUUAAAGGGGCCGGGGAAAUUUUCUGCGUCUUUUGAGUUUUAAAGGGAAAAGAUCUAUAGAGGAGCUAUGGACAUAUUGAGGGAUGUAAGGGAAAUCUUCUUUUCUUGUUUUUUUAGUGUGUGUAUUGGCGGCGGUGGGGGUGGGGAUGAUGAUUUUGCAUGUCAUCUUAUUUCUCAGAGUUGGAGUCUUUUCAACUAAAUCUAGAAUCAUUGGACUAUUAAAAUCUUUCGUAUCUGUUUCUGGACUUGGUUAUUUCCUUGGUCGUGUACUGUUCUUGCAUUUUUAUUUAUGUGGUCAGAUGCAAAUCAUGGAUAUAUUUCCACAUCGUUCAGGGGCUGUCAGCGAAGGCUGCUGAGCCAAUGAAAGAGGGAUAUAGUGCAGACAAAAUCACAAGCGGAUUGAAGCAAAUUCUUGGGGACCUCCUUGGCUUGACCGAAGGCACUGAACCAUCAUCUAGCCAAACUUCUAAUACUAACUCUUUGGAUGGGGCAUCGGAAAACACCGUCUUUAUGGCAGGUAUUGUCGGCCUUUUGGUUAGUCCAAUUUGAAUAAUGAGAUAAGCAUCCAGUACUCUCCCCACCCAUUACCCCUCUAAACUCAAUUUAGCAUAUUUUUUGUCACCCUUUUAUGCUGAAGUGGCACCUUUAUUACAUAAAAUGGGGCCCACAUCAAAGGUGCCACGUCAGCUAAAAAGGUUGAAAAGAUUAUGCUAAAAUUUAGUUUGGGGAUCCCAUGAAGUUGCAGUGUAUCGUAACAAUUUUGUUCAUAGUUCAAGGGGGUACUAGAUGUUUUACUCUUUUUGAAUAUCAAGGAAUUACAUUUUUUUCCUUCAGCCUUUUCUUUUUACUAAUAACUAUUGUUGAAAAUGUUUAGGUGAUAGGGUGAGGUUUGUUGGUUCUACUUCUGAUGCACAGCGCUCGACUCCCGUCGGGUAAAAUUCUAAUUUUCUUAAAAACCCAAUACCAACUCUUUUAUUCUUUUAAAUGAUCUGUACCUUCUUAUAUUUGAACAAAUUUCUGAUUUUAUUUUGUGAUGGUCUGUCUGUCAUCUUUUCCCUUUCAAUUUUGUCUUUCCGGUUUCUCAUAAAUGAAAAUAAUCAUUCUUGAGGCAUGUCUCUUAAUGUCAUCCAUGGAACUGCGUUAUCCAAAAAAAUAAAAAGAAAAGAAUCAUUCUUGAUACAUAUGCAAGUAACUAUAUGGUUUAACGAUAAUUCGAGUAAUAGACGGGUAUGUGGUCUUAUUGAAAAUGAGUAUAUAUGUUGAUAUCAUCCCCUUUGGGGUGUGGGAAUUGGCGGGAGACAUAAAAGAUGGAAAAUGAGUACAGAGAAAACUACUAGGUCUGCUAAGAGUCUAAGACAUUUGCUCCAAUAAACGACAACUUAGCUUGUUUAUUCAGUUAUUUCCAAGAGUAAAUAUUUCUCCCUCUGUCUCAAUUUAUGUGACACUCUUUUCUUUUUAGUUAGCCCAAAAAGAAUGACACCUUCUAUACUUAGUCCUCCCUCCGUUUCGAUCUGUUUGCCUCAGUUUCUUUUUUGUUUUGUUUCAAAAAGAAUGUGUUUUUCCUAAUUUGGCAACUCUUUAAUCUAAACAUCUCUCAUGACGUGUUAAGACCACAAGAUUAAAGAACAAUCUAAGCAGAUUAUACAUAAUUUAGUUUAAGAUUACUUUCUUGGAUUCUGUGUUAAGUCAAACUAUGAAAAAACAAAUUUCUGCAUUUUCUAGACAGUGAAUUAUUCUUCAUCUCCAGUACCACAUGUUCUGCAGCCUAUUCAUAAGUUUAUAACAACCUGAGGCUGUAAUUUUUAACCUUCUCCAUCUUGUUCCAUUGUUCCAGGGGACCAACAUUUGGGACUAGAGGGAAGGUGGUAUUGACUUUCCAUGAUAAUCCAUCAGCAAAGGUUGGCGUAAAAUUUGAUAGGCCUAUCCCUUAUGGCAUUAACUUAGGUGGACUUUGCAAUGGUGAUCAUGGAUACUUCUGCGAAGGUACUUUUUGGAAUGCCAUGGCCUUAAAUUAUUGCCUUUCAUUUAUUAAGUUAACGACAUUCCUAAUUGCGCAGUCUUAGUUCACUUUCAAUGCUUUUUAUCAUCUCGUCCUCUCAGUUAGUGAACUGCAGUUAGAUGAAGCCACUGACGUGGAUGAUCUGGAAGACUUACUCACCAACACAUUGUUUGAGGUGUGACUUCUUUCAAUAAAUAUGAAUAAGUUCAUUUGAAAACUAAUAGUGCUAUGUGGGAUUUCUGUUUUCUUGUAAACUUUACUCUUUAAAUUUCAUUCUACUUUAAUUUUUUAGGUUGUUUCCAGUGAAAGCAGAAAUUCGCCAGUCAUUUUGUUCAUAAAACAUGUUGCGAAGUCUGUGGCACGAAAUUCAGUAUCUUAUUCAACAUUCCAAAGUCGGCUUGAGGAGCUACCUGAUAAUGUAGUCAUUAUCGGUUCUCAUGCUCAUACAAACAAACAUAAGAAGUUACUAUUUUAGAUCAUAAUGCCCAAGAAUAAAUGCCGGUGAUUAUAUCUUUCCUGUUAUAAUGUGUAUACAGUUUAUUAAGUGGCCUGUUAUGGAAAUUUCUUAUGGAUCAAAUUUCUUGGCUUUAGUAGUUAUUGGUGGCAAAACUUUGUGAGACUGAUGCUUGAUCAAGAGAAAUGAGUGGUGACUUAUUACAACAAAAAUUUCAAAAGACCAUCUUCAAAGCACAAAAGAGACAUUGGGCUGGCUAUAUAUAUCAAUGCAUGCAGCAUACACAGACACACACAUACACACAUAUAUGUAUGUACACACUACAUAGUGCGGCCUACACCCGCACUCUCAAGAACUACAACAACAAUGACAUACCCAAUGUAGUCCCACAAGUGGAGUAUGAGAGGGUAGUAUGGACGCAGACCUUACCCGUACAAUGUAGAGAGACUGGUUCUGAUAGAUCCUCGACUCAAGUAAACGCUUUACAAAGCAAUUUGAAAAAAUAGAUACGAAUUACUACUUUGUUUGUUUGGAAACUAGACUUAUUUUUGAAAAACAAUAUAAAAGGAUUUUCAAAAACCAUCAACAUGAUCUAGUUUUCUAAAAAAAAGAUACUUCUUUGAUAAAUGUCGCAACCAGUAUUCUAUAAAACCAAACCACAAAAUAAUUCUAAUUCUAACUAAUACCCUUUUGCUUAUGGCCGUGAAUUAGGCCUUUCAGUUCCUUUACUCUUCAUUUUAGGCGCUUUUUCCGCUUUUUCAGUGGCUUAUAGUACUGAAUUUUGAUACGUUCAGGAUAGUUUUGGGGAGAUGCAUGACAAGGGGAAACGGUCUGCAAGGACAAAUAAAUUUUUGAUGAAACUUUUCCCAAAUAAAGUGGUUAUUCACAUGCCACAGGUCUGUUGUUUAAAUUCUAUAGAAUUUUAUAUGAUCUUGUUCUUGCUUUAGCAAAUCACUGAGUAGCUUUAAGUAUUGCAGGAUGAAGCACUUUUAUCAACUUGGAAACAACGACUGGAUCAAGAUGUUGAUACCCUCAGAAUGAAAGAAAAUUUUAAUAGCUUGCAAAGAGUAACGCUUUCUGACCUUUAAAGUUAUGAAUGACCAAUUUUAAUACAUUUGUGACUCCCCUCAGAAAGUACUAGAUGUUUCCUUGAUGCCGGUCAGGAAAAACAAACAACUUUAAAUGGAGCCUUGACUUCCCAAAUAUGUUUCCAAUGCCAGUUGGAACCCUGUGUAAAAACAAUAAGUUGACCUUACUUUAAAGAUCGUCUUAAUGUAGCCUUUCCAUGUUAAGUAAUCUUCACUGUCUGUUGUCCCCUGGAACACCUCCAGCUGCUGCAGAAGUUAACUCUGAAACUGAAAUUCCUCCCUUGUUGACUCAAUACAUCUGCUAUAUAUUCCUGAUUUCCCCAUAAAUGCUGUCAACGUAUUUCCAGCAUUCUAAGACUGGGUUACUGCUCUCUGAUAUUUUCGUUCUAAAAAAAAAUUGUGUGAACAAGUUGAAAUGAUUGUUUUCUGAAUUCAAUAGGUUAGAAACUUAUUUAUAUAUGAUUGUCUCUCUUAUAUAGGUUCUGAGUCGGAUUGGAUUAGAAUGCAGUGGACUAGAGACAUUGUGCAUCAAAGACCAAAAUUUCUCUGUUAAAAGUAAGCUGCUGCUUUCACUGUGUUGAAUACAAGAGAAAGAGGUCUCAUGUGUGGAAGAUUCUAGAAGAAGCAAUAAUAGACUAGUUGUUUUUCUAUUAUAACUGUUUCCAGUUAGUUACACUAGCGCUAACGCCUAGUUAGUUAGUUAGUUAGCCUAAUCUCUAGCCUAUAAAUGUAUAUGACUAUACACAUUGAAGUAUAAUGAAAACAGGCAGUUACUCUUCUCUCUCAUCUCCUCUCUCAGUUCUCUUCCUUUCUUCUACAAACACUAUCAAACUCUUUACUUCCUCCAUUGUUGAAUAAACAAGAAGCUUACUGCUAUCUUGUAUAAUUACAUGGUAUCAAAGUCAGGUUGGCUAGAUCAAAACUAGCUACCUUAGUCGAUUCUGAACAUUGAAGAAAGUGCUCAAUCACAGAUUCAGAUUUUUUCAAGUUCUUGAAGGAUUUCUUGAGUCAAGAUUUGAAGGUUCAAGUAAUGGCAAAUGGUGUCGAAAUGGGUGGUGGAUCAACCAGCAGUGCAAGAGCUGUUACUGCAAUGGAUUACAAUCAUCCUCUCUUUCUCAGUCCCUCAGAUGUUAGUGGAACGCUGAUCACCUCCUUCCAAUUGAUAGAUGUGGAAACUUUCUCUAUCUGGUUUAGGUCUAUGCGUGUAGCUCUGUUAGGAAGGAAUAUAUUAGGACUUGUUGAUGGUUCUUGCACUAAAGAAUAGUUUUCUUCUUAUCUGGGAAACCACUUGGAAAGAUUAAAUGCUAUUGUAUUAUCAUGGAUUAUGAACUCUAUGUCUAAAGAGUUAUUAGGUGGAAUCAUGUAUGCAUCAGUUGCAAGUGUUGUCUAGAAUGAGUUUCUUGAAAGAUUCAACAAAGUUGAUGGUGCUAGAACUUUCAAUCUGCACAAGGAAAUUGCAACACUAUCUCAAGGAACAGCUUCUGUGUCCUGCUAUUUCUCAAAACUGAAGGAUCUAUGGGAAGAAUUUGAGGCACUUAUGCCGAUUGUGAAAAGUCCAAGGAGUUUGUUCUACAUCUACAAAAAUUGAAGUUGUUUCAGUUCCUCAUGGGACUAAAUGAAAUAUAUACACAGGCUAGAAGUCAGAUACUACUUAUGGCUCCUUUGCCUUCUAUCAAUCAGGCAUAUGCCAUGAUAAUGAGUGAUGAAAGCCAAAAAUCUAUAGCUACUAAUGCAGGUGUGCUAGGAUCUAGUCCUGCAAGCAUUGGUAGAAGGCUUGACUUAGGCAUGUUUACAAGAAAUGGGACACAAAAAUUCAAGAAGAAGUACAAUUUGCAAUAUGACUUUUGUAAGCUAAAAGGUCAUACUAAGGAAAAUUGUUGGAAGUUAGUUGGAUAUCCUUAAGAUCACAAGUUCAAAAAGAGGCUCAGGUUCGAAGGAGCUAAUGCAGCAUACAAGGUAACUAGUGAUUCUCAAGAUACUACAGAAAUGACUACAAGGCAAGGUUCACAUUAAAGGUCUAUCCAAAGUAACUGGUUCAAUGAUGGAUACCAUCAAGAAGAGUCUGAAAUGCAUUUGGAUCAACUAGGUUAGAUGAGAACAGCAGCCUUUACUAAGGAACAAUAUGAUCAAAUCCUAAAGAUAAUCAACAAAAAUAGUGGUGCUAGCACUUCUACUGAGACAACAAAUGCUGCAAAUGCAGAUAUUAGUGUAUUUCUAGCUUCAUAUGAGUCAAGAACUUGGAUAAUUGACACUGGCGCCACAAAUCACAUGGUUGGAAGGUUAGACCUACUAGUGAAUGAGUUAACAAAACUAGAUAAGCCAACAAGGGUGUAUUUACCUAAUAGUGAUCUGACUGAACUUACACAUGUGGGAUCUAGUUAUAUGUCUGCUGAAAAUAGUAUAACAAAUGUGUAUCAUAUUCCUCGGUUUACAUGCAACUUGUUUUCAGUAUCACAACUGACCAAGGAAUGGAAAUGUUCAGUGAACUUCUUUCCUAAUUUUUGUGUUUUCUAGGAUCUUUGUACUGGAAAGGUGAGGGGGAUUGGUAAGCUUGAUGGAGGUCUGUAUCUCUUAGUGAAUACUCAAGAAAGGAAGGUUGCAGCAGCAACAAAAGUCUCUACUAAAGCUGAUGAAAGUAAAGCCCAAGCUGAGGUUGAUCUAUGGCAUAGAAGAUUAGAACAUGCCUCCUCUAAUAUACUUCUAAAGUUUCUACCUACUAAAUUUCAUGUAGUAGAAGUUAGAGUAAAGAAAUGUACUAUCUUUCCUUGUGCCAAGCAAACCAGACUUCCUUUCUCUACAAGUAAUACUCAGCCUGCAUGUUGUUUUGAUAUAAUACAUAUGGAUCUAUGGGACCUUAUAGAAUUCCUUCUAUGAAUGGUAAUAAAUUUUUCUUAACAGUGGUUGAUGAUUGUUCAAGGUUUACUUGGUUGUUAUUAUUGAAACUCAAGUCAGAUGUGUAUGUGCAGAUACAAUAAUUUCUUGAGUAUGUUAAGACAGUUAGGCAAAACUGUGAAAGUAAUUAGAAAUGACAAUGGAACUGAGUUUGUGAACUCAUUAUUUCAUGACCCGAACAGGGGCCCUGGCCAUGACAAGCAUUCCCAAACCUUGAAGGCCCGGGAUACCCUCUGUCUAUCUAGUAAUCAUGCACAACAUUCGUAUAAUAAAAGAUAAUGCAGAAAUAGAAAUCUAAUACGGAAAUAUGGUCAGUCUGAAUAUGAUCAUAAUACUGAAAAAUUGAAAUCCAAAAUAUAUCUGGAUAAUAAUAAUGUCUGACUCAGUCUGUGAAAUCUCUACUAUGAACUAAAUAAAACUAUCUGAAAAUUGGGACAAGGUCCCCAGUAGACCAAAACAUUACUAAACAUAAAUAUCUGAAAGUAAACAGGUCUUCUAGAAUAUAGAAGGCUCACCCCUGCACAAUCUUUUCUGCAAUCUGAAAUAUCUACUAUUUAUCUGGAUCCCUAGACUGUGUCUCAAAACCUGGAAGGAGGGAGGUCAGCACAAAUGUACUGGCACACGAAUAAAUCCAAAAUAAAGUAUUUGAACAUAUAUAUAAUAGAUGAGAGCAAUUUUCAUCAACAUAUCACGUAUAAAAUAGCUUCUGAAAACACAUGGGCAUCAUUCGAAAAUCAUAAGACAUUCUUGUCAAAACAAUUUCUGAUCUUUGUAUUACUUCUAAGUUAGGUGACACUCUCCUACAAGUCUGAUACUCCAUGGGCUAUAUGAAAUCCGCCAUUGACUCGGCGGGAAAUCCCCCAACCCAAGUGUGCCGCAAGGGUUGGAGAAUCUGAUUUCUGAACUAGCCUGUGUCUGUUAUGGCAUUUGUCUGAGUUGGUAUCGUCAUACCAAUACUUGCAAGUCCUAUUUUUGAUCCAUAAUGCAUUAAGCAUGAUCUUUCAUAAAAAUGUAGUUUCAGACCACCCAAACAUGUAAUUUGUAUAAAAGAUUUCAUGUUCCGAAACUUAAGUCAAAACCAUGCAAAAACUUUCAUCAAACAUGUGGUGGUCAUGUGCUUUUGGAAAAAAUUUUCUCUCUUUCAUUAUAUGUAUAUUCAACAUUUGCAACCCUCUCUUUCAUGUUCAAAAUCGUAUUCCAAACAUAGCAAAGUCAAAGCAUUUCAUAUCAUGAUUUUUCAAGACGUAUUUCAAAACAAUCUAUAUCAUGUGAAACAUGGGAAAAUUACAUCAAGAGAGGGAUUUCAUAUAAAUCGUUCUCUCAAUUCAUAUUUCAAGGCAAAACACAUAUAUACAUAUACAUAUACUCUUCAAGUCACUUUGAGGGAAAGCCAAAAGGCUAAAACAAUAUCAUUUAAAGCCUCUAAAACAUGAAUAUGUACAUGAAUUCAAAAACCCUUUCUUAAAACAUGAUUUUUAUGCCUAUGAGAAUUUAGGAAAACCCUGUGUACCACUAUUUAAGAAAUUGAGCGAUGAUCCUUGAAGCCUACGGUGUGGGGAUUCCAGAUCUCUAAUUAUCUUCCAAAUCCCAUGGUUGAAUCUUGAGUUAUUUGGGAUUUUUGUUUGAAACCCUAAUGGGUGUUCUUGAGAGAAAAUUUGAGAAAAGGAUUAUAUUUUGAUGAAUUGGGGGCUAAAUCUGGUGUUAUAUACGAAAUUUGGGUGAGGUGAAAUGACUAAAAUACCCCUAAGAAAACAAACAAAGUCGAAACUGUCCCUCAGUUGACAAACUGAUAGGCUGAAGUAAAAUGGCUAUAAAUCCUUACUCAGAUGUUGGAUUUGGAUGAAACCAAUUGUAUUGGAAAGAAAACUUAAAGAUAUUUUAUUUGAUAGGUAGCAGCUCUCCCAGUUCAUUAUAUUCAGAGAAUUAUGAUUGUUUGAAGUUGACCCUGAAAUGCUGAAAACUGCACAAAAGGCUAUGCGUUUUGCUACUGUUUUGAAAUCCAAACGCAGCCUUAUGCAUUCCGAAAAAUUCCAAAACUUAUCUGAUAUGUACUAUGAGCUUGUCCAAUUGUAACACAACUUGAAAAUUUAAAAACGGAGGUAGGAAAGGUUGAAAAGUUGUAUCCCGAAGAUUGCCAGCUAAAAUGAUUCUAAGUUCUCAUUACACUUAGAAAAAUUUUCAAGUUUUUAAGUCUAAGAGCACUUUAUUAAAGGCUAAUCCAUGCACGACUUUUAUGGGGUGUUACAUUAUCUCCCCCUUGGGAUCAUUCGUCCUCGAAUGAUGGAUUGGAAAUGUUGAAGCUCAAAGGUAUAGAACGAUGCUGACAUGAUGUGUCUUCUAAGAAAGUAUAUAACUGAUCUGAAACAUUUAAACUUCUAUCACGAAACUGAAUUCUGAGUUGACUUUCCCUUACUUGCUUCAAGAAGCUGAUUCAUGCUAAGAGUUUAGGAUUCCCUUGAAGUUUUCAUGAUCCAAUCAUACAUAUUGAAUUGAGAAGUGAUAACUUAUGCAAUUACGAAUCAUGAGGCAUCAAGACUUAGAUCGUACCAGAGUAUUAUACUAACUGGGGUAAAAUACUUGGAAGUAUUUGAGAUUAUGCACUGAAAACUUAUGAACUGAGUCACGACUAAAUAGCUGAAUCUGAAAUAUGAUGCUUUGACUGAACUGAAUUCACAACUUAGGAUGAAAGAUAUUAUCUCUUAGGAUGGUCAUACGCAUGAGACUUUGGAUAGCAGGAUUGGGUGAAAAGGUGAAAAACCACCAUAACUUGUCUUCCUGACUGCUAAACUGAAAUACACCGGAAACUUAUAUUCAACGAGAGUAUCUCUUCAACACUCUGUCUAAAGAAAUUCUAGUAGCAUUAUGGAGCAAAAGAUCUUGGACAAUGCAACUUCUUGUUUUUCAAGCUUAGCACACUUCUUUAAUACUCCCUUAACUAUACUAUUUCCCUUAAAUACCAUAUUCAUUCCAUUCAACUUAUAAUUCUCAUAUGGGCAUUGAUAGCUCUUUCUACAAUGUCUAUAGUAGCUUAAAUCCUUUCACUGCGAUCAAGCCUAACUCUAAGUCACAAAAAUACAACAUGCUACACCACACUAUUAUUCUAAACCAUAUGAUGCCACCUUCUANNNNNNNNNNNNNNNNNNNNNNNNNNNNNNNNNNNNNNNNNNNNNNNNNNNNNNNNNNNNNNNNNNNNNNNNNNNNNNNNNNNNNNNNNNNNNNNNNCUAUUCACUAAAAUCCCAACAGGUCAUUAAAGCCUAUCUUUAUAACCUCAUAUGAACUUCAAGGCAAACACCCAUGAAGACACACUUCACAUAUUCUCUAAACCACUAUUAAUAUAACUCCCACGCGCUACCCUAAGAACAUACACACAUAAAUUUCCACUAACCAUCACAUACAUCAAAAACUUGGCCCCAGAUCUUACUUCAUACUUAUGGUCUUAUCUAAAACAAGCAUACUAUAAAGCGUGAGUACAUGAGUCAUGAGCUCCAUGACCUAAAUUUGGAGUUCAUAACUUAUGGAAUGUGAUUCCAACUGCUGAAAGAACUGGAACUCUUCAUUUUGGGAACUAGGAGGGUACAUGAUUCUCUAUCAUAUGUAUGAAUUUUGAUCAUUGGACUGAAACGUAAGGCAUGAGUAGAUAUUGGGAUAACUGGAAAAAAAAUACUUAGAUAAGAAUGGGUUGUCUCACCCUCACUUUCUGACGUUCAAUAUCAUCAUGACAUCACGACUAGAAUCUGAAAGCUUAACUUGGUUAUUCACUCGAUUAUCUCCCCCUUAGCUUCAAGUCAUCAUAUUAAGUUUGGGAGAUCCCUUACUAGACUCUAAACUGAAGUACACUCAUUGCACUCUGGGGUCUGAAAAACUACUAUACACGCAUAUCAUGGCACUUAACCCGAAUGACUACACCUGAAAGUGGAAAACCCACUCUUAAUACUACCUUCUGAGAUACACUUUAUUAUUCUAUAGACCCAACAGUCAUCAUAUAAUACUUGCACACUUACUAACUUCGGGUCUUCAUGAGUAUCCCCAUAGUUAGAGUGCACACCCUCUAGUGCUUUAAGUCUUUUUUCUAUUAGUUCAACCUUCAAAACUCAAACUUAGAAUCUAGUACUCAACAUGGAUAUCACCAAGCCUUCAAUGAAUCAUACUACUUCCGAAAUAGCCUACCAAUAUUGCGACUCCAAACUUACAUCUCUCUACUAUGAGAAUCAAGAUCAUAUAAAAAGGCUCAACACUAUCAAUCAAAACUCNNNNNNNNNNNNNNNNNNNNNNNNNNNNNNNNNNNNNNNNNNNNNNNNNNNNNNNNNNNNNNNNNNNNNNNNNNNNNNNNNNNNNNNNNNNNNNNNNNNNNNNNNNNNNNNNNNNNNNNNNNNNNNNNNNNNNNNNNNNNNNNNNNNNNNNNNNNNNNNNNNNNNNNNNNNNNNNNNNNNNNNNNNNNNNNNNNNNNNNNNNNNNNNNNNNNNNNNNNNNNNNNNNNNAUCCACCUUCAUGGACAUCAAUUGUUCAAACUUAAUGUCUAGUGCUAAACAUGAUUUUACAACCCACCUUAUACAUAAUUCUUACAAAACAUACAUCAUUAAUCUUAAGUCACUAUUUUUACAACCACAUUGUGAUGCUCAACGUCACAACCCAUUAAACUCCUCACGUUUUGGGCAUGUUUCGGACUAUUCGGGCUCGUUUUCGAGCUUGGCGGGGCUUCUAUAAAUGCCCCGCAUUGCUGCCAACGUUCCAGGACCUU